rnacentral:ncRNA from 1 species
CACCUGGUUGAUCCUGCCAGUAGUCAUAUGCUUGUCUCAAAGAUUAAGCCAUGCAUGUCUAAGUAUAAGCUUUAAACGGCGAAACUGCGAAUGGCUCAUUAAAACAGUUAUAGUUUAUUUGGUGAUCGAUUACUAUUUGGAUAACCGUAGUAAUUCUAGAGCUAAUACAUGCGUCAAGGCCCGACUUCGGAAGGGCUGCGUUUAUUAGAUACAGAACCAACCUAGGCUCCGCCUAGUCCUUGUUGGUGAUUCAUAAUAACCCGGCGAAUCGCGCGGCUUGUCCGGCGAUGGACCAUUCAAGUUUCUGACCUAUCAGCUAUGGACGGUAGGGUAUUGGCCUACCGUGGCGUUGACGGGUAACGGGGAAUUAGGGUUCGAUUCCGGAGAGGGAGCCUGAGAAACGGCUACCACAUCUAAGGAAGGCAGCAGGCGCGCAAAUUACCCAAUCCUGAUACAGGGAGGUAGUGACAAGAAAUAACAAUACAGGGCAAUUCUGUCUUGUAAUUGGAAUGAGUAGAUUUUAAAUCUCUUUACGAGUAUCAAUUGGAGGGCAAGUCUGGUGCCAGCAGCCGCGGUAAUUCCAGCUCCAAUAGCGUAUAUUAAAGUUGUUGCGGUUAAAAAGCUCGUAGUUGGAUUUCUGCCUUGGGCGACCGAUCCACCUUUCCUACGGGAUUGGUUGGUAUCAGGUUUGACCUUGGCUUUUUCUUGGGAUUCGUGCUCACGUACUUAACUGUGCGUUGACCGUGUUCCAAGACUUUUACUUUGAGGAAAUUAGAGUGUUUCAAGCAGGCUUAUGCCAUGAAUACAUUAGCAUGGAAUAAUAGGAUAUGACUUCGGUCAUAUUUUGUUGGUUCUAGG